rnacentral:rRNA from 1 species
AUUGAACGCUGGCGGCAGGCCUAACACAUGCAAGUCGAGCGGGGUUUUCGGACCUAGCGGCGGACGGGUGAGUAAUGCGUAGGAAGCUACCCGAUAGAGGGGGAUACCAGUUGGAAACGACUGUUAAUACCGCAUAAUGUCUACGGACCAAAGUGUGGGACCUUCGGGCCACAUGCUAUCGGAUGCGCCUACGUGGGAUUAGCUAGUUGGUGAGGUAAUGGCUCACCAAGGCGACGAUCCCUAGCUGGUUUGAGAGGAUGAUCAGCCACACUGGAACCGAGACACGGUCCAGACUCCUACGGGAGGCAGCAGUGGGGAAUAUUGGACAAUGGGCGCAAGCCUGAUCCAGCCAUGCCGCGUGUGUGAAGAAGGCCUUCGGGUUGUAAAGCACUUUCAGUAGGGAGGAAGCGUUGUGUGUUAAUAGUACACAGCGUUGACGUUACCUACAGAAGAAGCACCGACUAACUCUGUGCCAGCCGCCGCCGUAAAAC